rnacentral:miRNA from 1 species
UUCCUCUUCCUCUUCCUCUUCCUCUUCCUCUUCCUCGCUUGUUAUGGCUUAGUGGGCCCUUUCAAUCUAGAGACGCAUAUCCUUCAGUUUUUCAGAUAUUUCUGUUAUCUCUUUGAUAAUUUCCUACCCUUUAUUUUUUUUUGUGUGUUCCUUCUUUCUAAAAUUUCUAUUGGUUUUCAAUCCUGAGAUUGAUCUUCUGAUCUCCCUAAUUUAUUUUG